CACAUGGGCCUGGGGCAUUCUGGCAUGCGGGGUCCCCGGGGCAGGAGGGCAUCAGGGCGGCUGUGAGCCUCGGGGCCGGGCCCCAGCAGCGUGCCUCUAACCGGCCACGCACAGUGGGCCCGGAGUUGCGGAACUAUGGGGAGGCGGCAAGGGGCUGCGUCUGGGCGCCCGACAUUUUCCGCAUCAAUAGUGAAGGAAUAUCUCAUUGUAGAUUUAAUUUGCGUUUCCCUGAUAGCUAAUGAUAUUGAUAAACAUGUGAAACAUCUUUUCGUGUGUUUAUAUGCCAUCCAUAUAUCCUCUUCAGUGAAAUGUUUGUUCCUAUAUUUUCUCUAUUUUCUAAUUGAAUUUUUUAAAAUCUAAGUUUAAAAGACAGAUUAUACGAAGCGCAACCCAAAUAGCUAUCAAGAACAUUUAAGAAAAAUAUCCCAAGAAAGAUCUCCCUAGACUUGAGAAAUACUGUUAGAUAAAUAAAUUGAGUCAACUAAUGGAUUGUAGAUGGAUGUUUUGGAACAAAUGGGUGAAAAGAGGAAUUUUCAGCUUUUUGUGGUUCCAGUUCUCUUGUCAAUAACUCAGGCUUCAAAGUCUUAAAUGUUGGCCCGGAUUUGCACUUUUUUACUGUGUCAAUUUCUGCCUAAUCCAGCACGUGUCUGCUGUGUGACAGGUGUGUUCCCAACCCCCUUCUCCUACGGCAAGACUUUCCCGUGGCUUCACAGUGAUUCCACUCUCACUUAGCUUGUACACCUCAUUUUACUGUUACCUCUUAUACCCCUUUUCCCUUAAAAUUUUACCUUUGUAUUUUGCAGCAAAAUUUCUCCUGCAUGUAUUUUAUAGACUACCCUUAAAUAGGCUAACCUCUUUCGUACUAUGGAAGUUUAAUAAAAUAUAAGUAAUAGACAUAAAAAAUAGCUUUGGAGCCACUUUCCCAGGUUCUGCGCUCUUUCCUCGUCUGUCCUUGACCUUCUACUCUUUCUAUUCCUUUCCUCUGCAAAAAGCCUCGGUGGGGACAGGUACACUCCUUUGACUAGUUUAAUUCUGAAGCGUAUCAAUGGCUUCCUUAGACAGGUCUCGUGGGCCAAAUUAUUUUGUUUUUCUGUAGAGCUUGGGAAUUUGAGUAAGACUGUCAGAGUUGUCUUGGUGGAAGGGUGAGAAAGAAGCAGUCUAGAGACACAGCAGUAAACCUUUCUAGGAGGUAAUGAAGUUGCUUUAGACUGCAGGGGGUCAUCAGAACAUUUCCUUAGAGGAUGCAUUUCUGACCAAGUAAUAGGAUAGACAAAAGCCCAAGGCUUAAAGACAAAAGGAGCUGAAUUUGUUUCCUUGUUCUGCCAUUACUAACUUAGUGAAAUGGGGCAGAUUACUUAACCUCUCUGAGCCUCCACUUAAUUAUUUGUGAAAAUGAGGUCAUAAUUCCCAUAUUACCUUCCAUAAUGGUUGUAGCAGGGAUCAAAUGGGAUAAUGCAAUGUGCUUGUCAGUGAUGAAGCUCUACACAAAUGUAAGCUGCUAGUAUGUUUAUAAUAAUUAUACUCCUCCCCCACAGCUAAAGCAGACACAACCUGGAAGAGAAACAGUCAUUUUCAUAGAACGAGGUCAAAUGAUCACUGUGUGAAUCACGGCAAUACAGUGCAAGACAGUGAUUUACUGCUUUGGAGGGCAUGCACGUGUAUGAUUAAGGGAUAUAAGUGCAGGACUCCCAAGAUUUACUUCCUUCCUGUUCCAGCAGGGUCACCUGAGGGGAGUGAGUAAUGGGAUAAUUUAUAACACCACAGGCCCUUUGUCAAGAGACCACUAGUCAAAACAGGAAGAUAAAACUCAGAAGAUUUCAACUGGGAGAAUACAACUUUUGAUACUCUCUGGAUAUACCUCUUAAUUGCAAGCAGGAGAGUCUUCACAAUUUUCUUGUUUUGUUUUUUCAAGGAGAUAGAUGUUCAUUAAAAAGGUAGGAUCAUCUGGAGUUAUUCUGUUGUUCUUAUACUUGGAGAUCUAGAACUUGCUUUAGAACUUUUUGACAAAAUCUUCAUCCUCAGACUCGGUAUCAACUUUAUCAACUGAAGGUUAUCCCUGGGAUCGCCCUUCUCAACUGCCCUCAUCCAUGGAUGGCUGUUCUCUGUUUUCUGUUCCACUAGCUGUCCUCAAAACUAAUAGAUGGGAAAGGAAACUGUGAUGGGCUGCUGCCAGCUUCAACUUCCUGCCCUGGUCCCAGCAUGGACUGAGCAUUUGCCCUGAGAAAGCAGUUCCUCUCAUGUCAUCUGAAAUGAAUCUCAUGUUGACUUCUGACAUCCUGGUUUACAUUUUUUUGUGAUACCACACAUGCAGUUGUUUCCUAUGGUGCUUGUAAAUAUCCUAGAAGUACAGCUAAAGUUGAGUUGGACUCUUGCAACUUUUAAAUUGUCUUUGAACAGAGGGUGCUGUUCUGAACAUUACAUGAAGGAUAGAGGAAAUCAAAGAAAAUACUACCAUUUUGGUCUGAGAGCAAUAUUGAAGAGGCAAGCCUGUGCAUUAUAAAAGACAGACACAGAUGGAGACAGAGUCCCACACACAGAGACUGCUCACACACAUGCACACACACACAGACAUGCACAGAGAGAGAGAAAGAGAGGGAGAGAGAGAGGGAGAGGGAGGGGGAGAAGAGGCUGGGGUUACAUAUUCCAUGGAAUUUGGGCCUUUUGGAAAAAUCAAGACCAAAAAUAGACUUGAAAUUUACUCUUCUUAUAAAUAUUUUCUUAUGGAGAAAACACUGAUGAAAGAACCUGCAAAAGUCAUUUCUUGCAGGAAGUAAAAUGUAGAAGGAAACAUCCUAUAUAUCAUCUUUAGUGUCAUACAUUGUCACAGGGUUUGGAAGGGAAAUGUGCUCUUAUCUGAGGAAUUAGGGUCUAUCACUAGGAGACUGAGAAUGUACAUUAUUUUCACUUUCCAUGGAUACUUAUCUACAGAUAUUAUUUGCAAUUAAAAUGGUUAUUUCAUUUUUCAAUAUUCAAAUAUAAUUUUUAACUAUAUAGUAAUACAUGCCUAUUAUAGAAAAUUUGGAAAAUACAGAAAGACCUCCAGACAAAAAUAAAAACAACCUAUAAUCACAUAACCUAGAGAGAAUUGGGCUGUAUAUCCUUUCAGAAUUUAUUCCUAUGUGCUUACAUCUAUGUGUGUUUUUUAUAUAAAUGGGAUCAAACUAUAUAGCCAUUUUGGAUUCUGGAUUUUUCCUAUACAAAUAAAAUAAACAUGAUAUUUAAUGGUUGCAUUGUAAUUCUUGAUGUGUCUGUAUCAUUAUUUUACCAUUUCUCUAUGGAUCUUCUACUUUAUUAAUUGUGUUGGUUGGGAUGUUGGUAGUGAUUUAUU